GCGUCCGAGUUGUAAUCUAUAGAAGUGUUUUCCGUGCCGGACCAUGUCCAAGUCCCUUGGAACAGGGUAUCAAAGAGGGUGACAAUCCCGUACUUGACAUGACCACCGGUGCUCUGUGAUACACUUUCUACGAGUCGAGUUGUUUGGGAAUGCAGCUCAAAAUGGGUGGUAAAUUCCAUCUAAAGCUAAAUAUUGGCGAGAGACCGAUAGCGAACAAGUACCGUGAGGGAAAGAUGAAAAGCACUUUGGAAAGAGAGUUAAACAGUACGUGAAAUUGUUGAAAGGGAAACGAUUGAAGUCAGUCGUGUUCUUUGGACUCAGCCGGUUCUUCCGGUCUAUUUCCUUUGAACGGGUCAACAUCAGUUUUGUCCGGUGGAUAAAGGCAGGAAGAAAGUGGCUCCCUCGGGAGUGUUAUAGCUUUCUGUCACAUACACUGGAGGAGACUGAG
rnacentral:rRNA from 1 species